CAAUGGUUUGCCCCAUCCCUAGUUAGUUCCAAAUGUCGAUAGUUUCAAAAAGUUGUGUGAAAGUAGGCUUUGACUUCACCGUUUUCCUACUUGCCUAUGCCGAGAACUGUUCAUGCUCAGUCUAACUCAAGCCUCGGAACAGCGCAGUACAAUUAUUUUUUUUUUUUGUGUUUAAGUUAAUAGAUCCGUUUACGCCAACGAAGUUGGACGGGGACUAUCAAAGGAGUGACUCUUUGCUGUUCGAAGGCAUCGUUCGCAAUUCGGAAGAAUCUAUAGACGAAGAACUCGGGCAGCCACCAUCUAAUGAGUCGUUCUUCUCUCGGCCGUCUGAAGGACACUGUUCGCAAUCCUCAAGAAUCUCCAUGGACGCAGAAAGUGCUUUUUUCAUUUGCCGGAUGGGGUGACUACCCUAUUUUUCGCAAUUCAGACGUAAAGGCUUUUCCACCGGUUCAUCGAAGAAAAUAAUGCGGAAGAAUCUAUGGACGAAGAAGAAUUCUUCUCAAGAAUCCGUCUGGCUCAACGAAGUCGGGCAGCAACCAUCCAAAGGGUGACUCUUCUCUCUGCUGCUCGGCGGAAGUCCUGUUUCACUACUCGCAAUCUGGUAGAGUUCCACUGCCAUCUUCCUAGAAUCUUCUCAAGAAUCCUUUUGGCUCAAUUCGCAAUUCCGUCCAAUCUGCAUUGACGACGAAGCCCCCUGUCACUGCGUGAACAAAGUCUGUAGCCGGAACCACAACAUCCUGGCACUGUUGGUUCUUCGGCACUAACCCGGCGAAUAUGCGAGUCGGACGAAUCACCACAGAAGGUGUAAUCAAUCAUGGGAUGGUCUCUGCCGGCUUCGUAGAUCCAGUGGAUGAGGGCUAUUCCAGAGGGAAAGGUCGUCUUCCGCUGGCUCUGCAAAGCCGGACAAGGACUGUCCAAGGAUUGAAUACUCCGUCAGCGGGGAUUCUUAAGCUUGGCCGGUUCCCCAACAAGCCGAGGGAUCCUCAACCAUCGGAGAAGAUGCAAAAACUGGACCCAGGUCUUCCUUUACCAUUGGAAACACCGGCACUACUUCGGCGAACUGGUCUGGAAUUAGAAAGCCUCCCGUUACUAGAUGAAGCAACUACAAAAUACACCACCCCGGCGAUUAUGAAAUUCGGACGAAUCCCCACAGAAGGUGUAAUCAGUCAUGGGAUGGUCUCUGCCGGCUUCGUAGAGCCAGCGGAUGAUGGCUAUUCCAGAGGGAAAGGUCGUCUUCCACUGGCUCUGCAAAGCCGGACAAGGACUGUCCAAUGAUUGAAUACUCCGUCAGUGGGGAUUCUUAAGAUUGGCCGGUUCCCCAGCAAGUCGAGGGGUCCUCAACCAUCGGAGCAGAUGCAAAAACUGGACCCAGGACUUCCUUUACCAUUGGAAACACCGGCACUACUUCGGCGAUCUGGUCUGGAAUUAAAAGGCCUCCCGUUACUAGAUGAAGCAACUACAAAAUAAACCACCCCGGCGAUUAUGAAAUUCGGACGAAUCCCCACAGAAGGUGUAAUCAGUCAUGGGAUGGUCUCUGCCGGCUUCGUAGAGCCAGCGGAUGAUGGCUAUUCCAGAGGGAAAGGUCGUCUUCCACUGGCUCUGCAAAGCCGGACAAGGACUGUCCAAUGAUUGAAUACUCCGUCAGUGGGGAUUCUUAAGAUUGGCCGGUUCCCCAGCAAGUCGAGGGGUCCUCAACCAUCGGAGCAGAUGCAAAAACUGGACCCAGGUCUUCCUUUACCAUUGGAAAAACAGGCACUACUUCGGCGAACUGGUCUGGAAUUAGAAAGCCUCCAGUUACUAGAUGAAGCAACUUCAAAAUAAACCACCCCGGCGAUUAUGAAAUUCGGACGAAUCUCUACAGAAGGUGUAAUCAGUCAUGGGAUGGUCUCUGCCGGCUUCGUAAAGCCAGCGGAUGAUGGCUAUUCCAGAGGGAAAGGUCGUCUUCCACUGGCUCUGCAAAGCCGGACAAGGGCUGUCCAAUGAUUGAAUACUCCGUCAGUGGGGAUUCUUAACAUUGGCCGGUUCCACAAGAAGACGAGGAAUCUUGGAACUCCGAAGAGGGGUCCUCAACCAUCGGAGCAGAUGCAAAAACUGGACCCAGGUCUUCCUUUACCAUUGGUAACGCCGGCACUACUUCGGCGAACUGGUCUGAAUUUAGAAGGCCUCCCGUUACUAGAUGAAGCAACUACAAAAUAAACAUAUCUUACAUUUUA